rnacentral:rRNA from 1 species
UAGAGGCCUACCAUGGUGGUAACGGGUAACGGGGUGUUAGGGCACGACAUCGGAGAGGGAGCCUGAGAAACGGCUACCACAUCCAAGGAUGGCAGCAGGCGCGCAAAUUACCCAAUCCCGACACGGGGAGGUAGUGACAAUAAAUAACAAUACGGGGUUCUUUCGGAUCUCGUAAUUGGAAUGAGUACAAUUUAAAUCUCUUAACGAGGGACAAUUGGAGGGCAAGUCUGGUGCCAGCAGCCGCGGUAAUUCCAGCUCCAAUAGCGUAUAUUAGAGUUGUUGCAGUUAAAAAGCUCGUAGUUGAAUUUCGGGGUUAGUAGGUUGGUCAUGCCUCUGGUAUGUACUGGUCUCACUGAUUCCUCCUUCCUUAUGAACCGUAAUGCCAUUAAUUUGGUGUUGCGGGGAACUUGGACUGUUACUUUGAAAAAAUUAGAGUGUUUAAAGCAAGCUAACGCUUGAAUACAUUAGCAUGGAAUAAUGAAAUAGGACGUUCGAUCUUAUUUUGUUGGUUUCUAGGAUUGACGUAAUGAUUAAUAGGGAUAGUUGGGGGCAUUAGUAUUCAAUUGUCAGAGGUGAAAUUCUUGGAUUUAUUGAAGACUAACUACUGCGAAAGCAUUUGCCAAGGAUGUUUUCAUUAAUCAAGAACGAAAGUUAGGGGAUCGAAGACGAUCAGAUACCGUCGUAGUCUUAACCAUAAACUAUGCCGACUAGGGAU